GGCCGUACGUGGCAGACAGGCUGCUCCCUGCCAUCACCCUCCAUACUCUCCCAGGACAUUCCGGCCCACGAGGAACAUGCCCGACGUGCAAAUCCCUCAGCCUUCGCCGCAGCCUGUCUUUGGAAGACUGGAGCAGGGUAAUUUUGGGGCGCUCCCCGCCGCGCUCGGGAAUAAUACUGUCUUUAAGCUUUGUCUCGGCCUCUGGACACCCCGGCUGCAGCAGGGAAGAAGCCACAUGUCACGGAGCAACUUAGCCUGUGCACCACAGUCGUGAGCCUGUGAGCUGAAACUACGGAAGCCUGAAUGCCCUUGUGAGCUCUGCAACAAGGGAAGCCACCGGCGUGAGAACCCUGUGCAACUAGAGAGCAGCCACCCCGC